AUAGAAGCAUUACUUAUUUGAACCUACAUGCUGUCCUUUUCCAUGAAAAGACCUCCAUCAUGACUUGCCAUGCAGUAUUUUAGAGAAAAGGAUACUAAAUGGGUCCUAAACAAAUUUUUGUGAUGCAUAAGUUGACAAAAACAAAGUUUUUUUUUUUUUUCAUGUGAUAUUUAGUCUGGAUGUCUUGAAAGUUGGGUAACCCUGCAGUAAUUUAACUCAGUAAGUGUUUUAAUUGAGUUGUUAAUGUAUAAUCGAUAAACUGCACAAUUGGGCAGUUUUAAAAAUAACACCUGUACAUACCUGUACAUUGCUUGCCAAACAACCAAUGUUUAAAACAGAAGGGGAACGAAGAUUAAAAGUGAAAAAUUAAGAAAAAACUUGAAGAAACCAGGCUCAGCUGGGGGAAUCAAUUCCAUUUUGUCUAAAAAGCAUAAUCCUAAUAUAGAAUCGGUCAUGUAUUAUUCAAGUAGAUUAAAUGAUGCAACUUUUUGGUAGGCAUUGUUUAAAACUAAACGGUAUCAGUUGAACUAAGAUGAAUGAUUUUGUGCCUUUGAAGUCCAUCCCAAAGUGGGUGCAGGUAGAUGCAGCGUCCCCUGGUUUUUGGUUGGCAAAGGCUUUAGAUGGCAGCAACCUAAUGUCUAUGUAUUCUAUUGUAAGAGAACAAAGUUAUACAAACUGUGGUCAGUGAAGUUUUUACUGCCUAACAUCUUUUGUGCUCAUUAAAGGAAAGAAAAUCAUAUUGGCUUGGAAUGUCAUGAGGGUGAUUAAUUUACAUUUUUUAGUUAAUUAUCUAUAUGAAGUGUAAGGUCCUACUGUAUGUCUCCUUGGACACUUGAAGUCUGGCUCAUACUGCUGUAGGUUUUCUUAGCUAUUGAAAUACCCUGGCGCUCAAGGGACAGCAGUAACUGCAAAACUUUAGAAUUGGGAAGAAUAAAUGAUUUUGAUCUAUCCAGAUCAAACCAUUUGCCAGUUCACCUGAUUGUCUUACACCAGUAUUUUCAAGUAUGCGGGUAUUGUAUGUUACAUAAUAAUUUUUAAUGAACGCAUUAUAUUAUAGAAUAAAUGGUCAGCAAUAUCAAUCGGUGAAAGUUCCAGGCAGAAUACUUUGUUGGCUGCUUUGAAUUUGGGGAUUUUCUCAGUGUGUGUUUGAUUGUAAAUGGUUACUUCAUUGAAUGGCAUGUCCAAAGCCACAAACACUCAGAGAGGCCAUGUAAGAAUUUUUAUGUAUAGUUGGAGUUGGACAAACUGGCAAAUUUUCAUGGUAUGAUGAUUUUCAUGCCAAGAAUUGUGUAUUUGCUAAGCACCAUAUUUGGAUUACCCAGGUCAUACAGAUAGAGAGCUAAGUGUUGGGCCAUAAGUAUUCUCCAGCCUGAUUGUCAUAGCGAAACUGCUACACCUUUUUUGUGCAAGGAAUUUGCCUUUUCCCCUCAUAAGGGAAAAUAUAUAUUUUUCUUUGUGGAUCAUUUGUCAUUAAACUGUAAGUGCUGCGUCACAUUGUCCUCCCCAGUUUUUGUACACAUUUAAUUUGUCAGUUUAAGCCUUUUAGUGUCUGUUGACAUUGAUAUAGCUAUUUUUGAUUGCAUGACUCUUUAACAAUGUAAUUAACCAUGAUUUGGCCAUGAUCAAGAUGGACAAUUUGUAGAUCUCUCACAUUCAAAAUAUUAAUUGUCUCUGCAUUAUUUCCAUCACAUUCUCUGUCCAGGCGUUGCCUAAAAGUUUGGCCGGAGGUCUGCUGAUUCAACAAUUGAGUGAUGUCAAAGGAUGAUGACAGGGUUUAUAUAGGCCUUCUUGAUCCUUCAUUAAGUACUUGGUGCAUGAGUUUAUGUCUGCCUGCCAGUCUGUGCAUGUACAUACAGUGCGUUACGAAAUGUGGAUUGGAGACUGCAGUCGGUAUUCCGAAGGUCUGCCCCAAACGUGCUUGGCAUGCCUGCCCUGAUCUGAAGGCUGCUAGAGAUAAGUGGAAGCGGUAUUGGCUGGCCCUUCAUCCAGCUAGUCGGCAUGGCGUUGCACGGUUAGAAUUGUCAGAGGCUGCUAAGGAACGUUCAGCUGUGGUCGUCAGGCGGCAUCCAGAGAGAAAAGUUGUCCGUCUGGACGACUGUGUGACUGUCGUCAAGUUGCCUCCUCAUGCAGAGGCUUGUCCAAGGGAAAACAUGGCUGCCUUUUGUGUGGAGACAAAAGACAAGAGGCUGGUGUUUGCAGCAGAGAAGGAAAGCUGUGGAGAAUGGGUGAAGUUAUUAUGUAACAUUGCCUUUCAGAAACACAGUAAAAGUGGCACACACUCUGUCCCUCGCAUGGAGGACAAUCACAUCUACAUGUCCAGAGAACAACUGUGCGAGUUCAAAGUGGUUGUGUCGCAGACUGAGGCAUCAGUUUGUUGUGGCCUGAAAGGACAGUACUGGCUGCAAGCUGGUGAGGACAUAUUGGUGCUUCAAGAUCUAGGGACCAGGAAGACAGUUUUGGAGUGGCCAUAUAAGCUGCUACGUCGCUAUGGACGAGAUAAGAUGCUGUUUUCAAUAGAGGCUGGAAGACGUUGCGAGUCAGGCCCUGGAACCUUUAUUUUUGAGACCAGUCAGAGUGAAGAGAUACUCCGCCUUACUGAGUCAGCCAUUCGACAACAGAAGAGCCUCACUGUUUCUGGAGGCAGGAACUCGCCACAUUCUCCACGUUCUCAUUCUCCUCGUUCACCCUUGCCCAAAUGCCCUGAAAGCUUCCCUCUGCUAGAUGCUGAGAGCAACAACAGCCCUGAUCGCAGGGGAGUCAGCGAGAGUGUGUACUCUAAUCAUGCUGGUGCUCUUGUUACAAACAUUCAUGCUUUGUCAAAUCCUGUAAAUAUGGAACCUACAAGUCCAAUUGGCUUAAAUGAAUCUUUGUAUGUAAAAUCUGCAGAUUCUGUCAGCUCCUCUAAAAGCACACAUUCAGAUCCUGUUGGGGGCGCUAAUUUGAUUGAGCCUGUGUAUUCAAAUCCAGCUGAUUUAAUUGCCGGACAUGAAUCUGUGUAUACACAGCCAGCAGAUGCCAUCAUAUCGCAUCAUACUGUAAAGAUAGACCAAUCUGGGCUACAGUCUGGCAUUCCGUCUAAUCAUGAUUCAGAACCAGUGUAUUCUGACCCUGCUGAUGUUAUCCACUUCCGCCCUAAACCUAACAGUUGUGUCCAUGUCAGCAAACCUCCAACAUUCAACAAUCACAAGCAACAAGAGCCUGUGUACUCUGAGGUGUAUAAUGUCACACAAAGCUCAAGUAAAAAACUAGCCCAGAACAUUGAGGAGCCGGUUUAUAGUGUACCGGAGUUUGUUACAUCCCGAAAAGCUGUUCAGGAAAACCAAGACAAUAACUCUGAACAAAACAAAAUGCCUGAGAUCACAGCCAUCUACAGCAAAGUUAUGAAACCACCAAAAACUACUCAGCCUCUGCAAGAAAAAAAACAAAGCCAAACACCAGAGAUUGUCUGUGAGGACCUUGGAAUGAUUUAGACUUCAUCUUCACAAACUUAUAGCUCUUAAAUGUCCCACGUUUUUCAUAUUUGAAAUAUUAUUAUUAUUAUUAUCACUGAUUUUAUUAAUUUAUUCAUUCAAUCUUCCAGAUGCAGUGGAAAACUGACUGAAAAUAAAAAAACUUUGUUGUUUUCCAUUAACUGAUGCACACCAUCAUGUUUGAUGUACUAUGGGUGUUUAACAUUUUUGUUUGGUAUUUUUGAUGUUAUGCAAAACAUUCAAAUCUUUUCUUUUUCAAACUUUAAGUUUAAUAAGUCCAGCAAUGUAUUUUAUUACUGUUCUGGUGUACCACAGCAAAAUUAAUGCUUAAAGAAAUAGUUCGCCCAAAUAUGAAAAUUAUCUCAUCAUUUACUCACCCUCGUGCCAUCUGUGAAUGACUUUCUUUUUUCUGUAGAACAAAAAUUAUGAUUUAUAGAAGAAUAUUUCAGCUCUGUUGGUCCAUACAAUGCAAAUGACUGGUGGACAGAACUUUAAAUCUACAAAGAGCACAGAAAGGCAGCAUAAAAGCAAUCCAUACAACUUACGUGGUUAAAUCCAUGUCUUCUAAAUUGAUAUGAUAGGUGUGGGUGAGAAAUAGAUAAUUAUUUAUGUUAAUUUUUACUAUAUAUCUCCACCUUUGACCAGCCCCAACCAGUAGAUGGCGAUAUGCAUGAAUAAUAAUACAAAAAAACAAGUAUAUGAAAAGAGAAAGUGGAGAUUUAUAGUACUAAAAAAGGACUUAAAUCUAGAUCUUUUCUUACUCACACCUAUCAUAGCUAUUCAGAAGACUAGGAUUAAUGCACAGGAGUCGUAUGGAUUACUUUUAUGCUGCCUUUAUGUAAUUUUGUAGAUUCAAAGUUCUGUCCACCAUUCAUUUGCAUUAUGAGGACCUGCAGAACUUUGAUCAAAAUCUUAAUUUGUGUUCAGCAGAAAAAAAUUCUUUAUACACAUAUGGGGGUGGCAUGAGGGUGAGUAAAUGAUGAGAGCAUUUCCAUUUUGGGGUGAACUAUUAACUAUUAUUAAAUAACAAAAACAUUUUUUUUAAUAUUUUUUUUACUUUUUCUUUUCACUUUAAAACAUGAAUAUAAUCAUUCCCACUCUCUUUUCCCCAAAAUGUUUGGAAGUUCUGGCAAAUACCCAUUACAAACUUGCAAAUGUAUCACAUGCAAAUGAGCUGAUGUUGCUGCAGGGUUUGCUACAUAUUCACCACUUCUAGUGAAGAGCUGCAAACUUGUGGCAAUUAUUUGCGGUAAAAUACAAGCUUGUUUGCCAGAACUAUAAUUUUUGUAACGGUAUUAUAUAGAGUACUGAACACAGCAAUAAUACAUGUAUUUUAAAUAUCUGCAUGAAAAGGUAUUAAAUAUCUUAUUAUUUGAACUACUGGUAAAGUGUCUAGACAAACUUUGAUGUUGGCUUGAAAAAGCCUUGUUUAAAAUUGUUUAAAAUGUGUACGUUUUAAGAUUAAGCUGACAGAAAAGUCAAACAGACAGAAAGUGCAUUACUAAUUGGUCGCUAGAGUGUUCUGGCUAGUUAUUUAGUUAGUUAGUUAGCUGUGCUGGCCCAACCUAAUAAGCAACAUAAGCGGCUACAUAUAUAUAGGGUCCUGUGACCAUCAGGGGGCCCCUACCACGGGGUCGUAUAAGUGCAAAUAGCACUGGCCACACAACCGAGCCAAAUGCACGGCAAUAGUCUGAUGGAGCUAGUUAGUGUAGAUAGUUUAGGGUUAGGGUAGGUAGGGCAGUGUAGAUUAGUGUAGUGUAGGUAGGGAAGUGUAGGUUAGGAUUAGGGUAUGUAGUGUAGGUUAGGAUUAGGGUAGGUAGUGUAGGUUAGGAUUAGGGUAGGUAGGCUAUUGUAGGUUAGGAUUCAGGUAGGUAGGGUAAUGUAGGUUAGGAUUAGGGUAGGUAGGGUAAUGUAGGUUAGGAUUAGGGUAUGUAGUGUAGGUUAGGAUUAGGGUAGGUAGGCUAUUAUAGUUUAGGAUUAGGGUAGGUAGGUUAGGGUAGGUAGGGUAAUGUAGGUUAGGAUUAGGGUAGGUAGGGUAGUAUAGGUUAGGAUUAGGGUAUGUAGUGUAGGUUAGGAUUAGGGUAGGUAGGGUAGUGUAGGUUAGGAUUAGGGUAUGUAUGGUAGUGUAGGUUAGGAUUAGGGUAGGUAGGUUAGGAUUAGGGUAGGUAGGCUAUUAUAGGUUAGGAUUAGGGUAGGUAGGGUAAUGUAGGUUAGGAUUAGGGUAGGUAGGGUAAUGUAGGUUAGGAUUAGGGUAGGUAGGGUAGUGUAGGUUAGGAUUAGGGUAGGUAUGGUAGUGUAGGUUAGGGUAGGUAGGGUAUUGUAGGUUAGGAUUAGGUUAGGUUAGGUAGGGUAGUGUAGGUUAGGAUUAGUGUAGAUAGGGUAGUGUAGGUAUGGUAGUGUAGGUUAGGAUUCUGACAGCGGAGAAUGUUACCGUCAGAUACUGUUCACCCCAUAGAGAUCUGUUGGGGGGAAACAGGUCCCUAUGGGGAAACAGAGUUCUACACAACAGGUUUUCUUCAGCGGCUCUGCAUCUCACGAGCCGGUGGAGAGCGAAUGUCAUGAAGCGUGCACAGGGAUGGGCCACCGUCUCUAGAGCCGUAGGCCUACUCUGCAUUUAAAGACAGGACAGGAGUGACGAGACACCAUAAUGUGACAAAUCGGGUGCCUUUCGUCCUGCUGCCAGCAAUGUAUUUUAAUUCUGUCACAAUACUUGCUUAUCAAUUGUCAAUUACGGGUAACCUGUAA